rnacentral:rRNA from 1 species
GAACUCCUACGGGACGCAGCAGUGAGGAAUAUUGGUCAAUGGCCGCAGGGCUGAACCAGCCAAGUCGCGUGAGGGAUGACGGUCCUAUGGAUUGUAAACCUCUUUUGUCAGGGAGCAAAGGGCGCCACGUGUGGCGUUUUGCGAGUACCUGAAGAAAAAGCAUCGGCUAACUCCGUGCCAGCAGCCGCGGGAAUACGGAGGAUGCGAGCGUUAUCCGGAUUUAUUGGGUUUAAAGGGUGCGUAGGCGGUCCGUUAAGUCAGCGGGAAAAU